rnacentral:rRNA from 1 species
UACGAGAGGCCCAAACGUUAUUCGGAUUUACUGGGCUUAAAGAGUUUGUAGGCGGUUCGGUAAGUGAGAUGUGAAAGCCCUCGGCUCAACCGAGGAAUUGCGUUUCAAACUGCCGGGCUCGAGGGAGAUAGAGGUGAGCGGAACUGAUGGUGGAGCGGUGAAAUGCGUUGAUAUCAUCAGGAACACCAGAGGCGAAGGCGGGUUACUGGGCCGACACUGACGCUGAGGCGCGAAAGCUAGGGGAGCAAACGGG